GACGAACGCUGGCGGCGUGCCUAAUACAUGCAAGUCGAGCGAGUCUGCCUUGCAGAUCGGAGUGCUUGCACUCUGUGAAACAAGAUACAGGCUAGCGUCGGACGGGUGAGUCACACGUGGGUAACCUGCCCAAGAGAUCGGGAUAACACCUGGAAACAGAUGCUAAUACCGGAUAACAACAGAUGAUGCCUAUCAACUGUUUAAAAGAGGGUUCUGCUAUCACUCUUGGAUGGACCUGCGGUGCAUUGGAUAGUUGGUAGGGUAACGGCCUACCAAGUCGAGUAUGGGUUGACGAGUGGGGAGACGGAUCGGCCACAUGGGAACUGGGACACGGCCAAUGCGCCUACGGGAGGCCGCAGUAGGGAAUCUGCCACAAUGGACGGGAGUAUGAUGGAGCAACGCGGAGUGAGUGAAGGAGGCUUCGGGCUCGGAAAGAUCUGUUGUUGGUGAAGAAGGACAGGGGUAGUAACUGAAGUGUGUUUGACGGUAAUCAAUUAGAAAGUCACGGCUAACUACGUG
rnacentral:rRNA from 1 species